UGGUAAUUUCUGCAUCAAGCCCAUAAGGGAAUAGAAAAGUUAAAAUAUUCCCUACAGUAAUGUAGGGAAAGUGACAAAAGCAUAGUCCAGGGGAUAUGGUGCAGAAGUUUGAGAAUGUGUAGACCCGUGUUCUAUUGCUGCUUAUGCCACAGAUUGGGAUUGGCUUGUUUUGAAAGGCAAUACAGCUUUUAUUAUCUUGUGAGACUUGGCAACCACUCAUUGGAAUGAGAGGAAGGUGCACUGGAGUGAAAGGAAGAAACAGAUCAGAAGAAGAAAAGUCACUAAAAGAGCUAAAAAUCAAAGAAGAAAGAAGGCAGAAGUAGCAGCAACACCAGGGUUUGACAGAUCAGAAAGACCCUUUCAGAGGGAGUCAAGACAUCAGAAGAAGUAAGCUUAAUGAUUUUUAGCCUUCAAUUGAAGCAUGUAUUUGUAUGCAUAUGCCUGAUUUAAUAAAGCUAGAUGUCAGUGUGUAUAUGUUUAAUACCUUGCUAUCAGCAUUCUGCAUGUGACUGUCCAUUGCAUGCAGAAUUUAACCAAUCAAAACUUUGUCAAUUGUAUAGUAUCAUAGUAUUGGGUAUUUGAAUAUUAUAUUGAAUAUUUGAAUAUGUAUAUGUUGAUAGAGUUUGUUGGUAUUCUAAUUCAUGCUGUUAUGUUUAGUUUAUUC